GUCAACGCCUUGAGCCUUGGGCCGAAGUCAAGCAGCAUCGGGCGCGGUCAGUACUUGGGAGGGUGACCACCUGGGAACACCGCGUGCUGUUGGCA
rnacentral:rRNA from 1 species